CUAAUUUUGUUAUCAGGCAGUGCACCAGGCUUAUGAUGCUGUCGUGCAGAAAAAGCGUAUUGAGGUAGUCUUGCUUAGUAUAUGGGAAGUUUUCUCAGAAUAUCACCUUGAAUUUGCUUGGGAAAACUCUUCUGCCUAAUAACUUUAUUGUAAUGGAUCGAUUGGUGAUGGACCAUAAUCUUCUGAGUGCAAGCAAGCUUUAUACAAACAUAAGCAUCAUCGUUCGAGAAACAAUAAGUACUUCUUAUGCAACACACCAACUCUUGGCAUGUUCAACACAACUCAUGAGAUCAGAAGGAAGAUGGAUGCUCUAAGGGAAAAUGAUGAGGGGAAGUAAUGGGAUCAUCUAAAGUAGGUUGUUAAUCUCUCUGCAUCUUUGGUACAAGAUUUGGGUUCAUUCAUGUACAGUAAUUUGCAUAAACAAACUUUUGCAAUAAUGCAAUUUACAGUAUGGAUGAGAGACAUCAAACUUAUCAGCAACUGCAAUCAUCACAGAAAGGUGAAGAUAUGAUUGCUUGUGUACAGUCAUUAGAAGCUGCAAAGCGUUCAUGCUUGCCUACGGGAGGCUGCAGGCGAUAGAUCAUUCUCCUCAUCCUUCUCAUCGAAGCCUUCUCCUCGGGCUUCUUCAAGAUGAUGUUGAUCCCGUGGUGUAUGAUAUGAAGGUGUAGAAGGCACCGCUGGAAUCAUAUGCAGACAUUGGUGGACUAUAUGCUCAAAUUCAGGAAAUUAAAGAGGCAGUUGAACUUCCACUACCCCAUCCUUGUGCUGGUAACCGGUGAGGCAAUUAGAGCUUGCUUUAGUAAGUGAUAUCUUUUCACAUAUAUUUCCUAAGUCCACCAGGUAGAAAUUGAUAAUAAUUUGUUAUAGUACAACUGUUAAUACCCAAAUUUCGGUUUAGGUCUUA